rnacentral:rRNA from 1 species
AACGAACGCUGGCGGCAUGCCUAACACAUGCAAGUCGAACGAGACCUUCGGGUCUAGUGGCGCACGGGUGCGUAACGCGUGGGAACCUGCCCUUAGGUUCGGAAUAACUCCCCGAAAGGGGUGCUAAUACCGGAUAAUGUCUUCGGACCAAAGAUUUAUCGCCUUUGGGUGGGCCUGCGUUGGAUUAGCUGGUUGGUAGGGUAAAAGCCUACCAAGGCGACGAUCCAUAGCUGGUCUGAGAGGAUGAGCAGCCACACUGGGACUGAGACACGGCCCAGACUCCUACGGGAGGCAGCAGUGGGGAAUAUUGGACAAUGGGCGAAAGCCUGAACCAGCAAGGCCGCGUGAGUGAUGAAGGCCUUAGGGUUGUAAAGCUCUUUUACCCGGGAUGAUAAUGACAGUACCGGGAGAAUAAGCUCCGGCUAACUCCGUG